GACGAACGCUGGCGGCGUGCCUAAUACAUGCAAGUCGAACGCAGUGGGGACGGGUGAGUAACACGUGGGUAACCUCCCAUCAGAGGGGAUAACACUUGGAAACAGGUGCUAAACCGAUACUGAUGGAUGGACCCGGGUUGCAUUAGCUAGUUGGUGAGGUAACGGCUUACCAAGGCCACGAUGCAUAGCGGGCCGGAGAGGGUGAUCGGCCACACUGGGACGGAGACACGGUCCAGACUCCUACGGGAGGCAGCAGUAGGGAAUCUUGGGCAAUGGACGAAAGCCUGACAGAGCAACGCCGCGUGAGUGAAGAAGGUUUUCGGAUCGUAAAACACUGUUGUUAGAGAGGCGGUAUCUAACCAGAAAGCCACGGCUAACUACGUGCCAGCCGCCGCGGUAAUAC
rnacentral:rRNA from 1 species